rnacentral:rRNA from 1 species
GAUGAACGCUAGCUACAGGCUUAACACAUGCAAGUCGCGGGGCAGCAUGGGGGUUGCUUGCAAUCCCCGAUGGCGACCGGCGCACGGGUGAGUAACGCGUAUCCAACCUGCCCUUCACCACGGGAUAACCCGGCGAAAGUCGGACUAAUACCGUAUGUUGUCCAUUGACGGCAUCCGAUUUGGACGAAAGGCUUGGCGGUGAGGGAUGGGGAUGCGUCCGAUUAGCCAGACGGCGGGGUAACGGCCCACCGUGGCUACGAUCGGUAGGGGUUCUGAGAGGAAGGUCCCCCACACUGGAACUGAGACACGGUCCAGACUCCUACGGGAGGCAGCAGUGAGGAAUAUUGGUCAAUGGGCGUAAGCCUGAACCAGCCAAGUAGCGUGCAGGAUGACGGCCCUAUGGGUUGUAAACUGCUUUUAUGCGGGGAUAAAGUGGCCCACGUGUGGGCUUUUGCAGGUACCGCAGGAAUAAGGACCGGCUAAUUCCGG